AAAAGUCUUAGUGCAGUUUUAAGAUAUUAAAGCCUAAAACUGGACCAAGGCUUUUGG
rnacentral:miRNA from 1 species